UUCCUGGGAAAAGAGUAAAGCCAAGAGGUAAAUACUCCUCCAUAAGGCUUGUGCCCCAAGUGCCUUAAAUUGUUUGAGUCAUUAGCAACUGAUUUCCCAAAACCAGAUGGACUCUGAUUUAAGCACAGAACCAUCACCUUUCACUCUGCCAAUUAAUUUAAUCCACCAUCAGCCUGGACACCAUAAAAUCAAAGGCACUGGGACUCCCAGCAGUGGGAGUCCUCUCAAAUCAAACAUCCUUCCCUGGGCCUCUGAGUUAACUCAGCAAACACACCCACGAAUUUUUAGGAAGCAUUCCUGACCAAUCCCCAUCAUCUGAGUAACAGAAAACCCAAAUAUUACUUCUGCCACCAGAGGGAAUUCUAAGCACCAGAGAACUUUUUUACUCAAAGCAGCAACUAAUACCUUUAUUUAUUAACAAAUUAAACACAUUACUUAUUCCUGUCUUAUCUCAGCACACGGACUCCCAAAAUCCAGAGCCACAGAGUGCAAAACAGGACUCAGCUUUACCUUGCUUAUACCUGUGCCUGUGGUAAUCCUGAACGUCUCCAACUUCACUCCCAGGGAUAAUCUCCGACAGAUUUGCUCCUUUCUUUGUGAUCAGUCUCCAGCCCAUGACUCCUGCCCUGGGGUCAGGAGUCAAGAGCACAGCCUGGCCUGCACAUUUCGGGAGGGAGCUGGAGGCGUCUCCAGCCUGUCCCCCAGGGAUGACAGCCCACAGGGAGAGGUCAGGGCAGGGGGAGAUGUCGACUUUCCUGCGGAUCUUGUACAGUUUCAGGUGUUUCUGGAAGGGCUCCAGGACAUUGCUGUCGCACUCCAGCAGGAUGUGAGGCUCCUCUCCCGCGCUCCCGUGGAGCCUAAAAAAAGUAACACCUGCAAGGUCAGGAAAACAAACCCCCACAGCAGCAGGAGCCAAAAGGCUUUGUCUGGCUCCUGGUGCGAAUCCAGAAGUCUGGGCAGUGGCAUGGAAGGCUGCUGGCACGCAUGGAGCAGGAAAUACCUGAUGUUUUCCAGCCUUCGGUUGCACUCUUUCCCAGCAAACACUGCCCUCAGCUCUCCCAGGGACAGGAACAGGGUGUGAGGAAUCCUCCACCCCUUCCCUAAAGUGAGGGGAAUUUCAGCAGGGGGAGAAGCCACAUUCAGCUGUGCCUUCCACUGGCACAGAAUCCCAGAACGGUUUGGGUUGGAAGGGGCAAUAAAGAUGAUCCAGUUCCACUUCC